rnacentral:rRNA from 1 species
GACAGAGGGUGCAAACGUUUGUUCGGAAUUACUGGGCGUAAAGCGUGUGUAGGCGGUCCACUAAGUCGGAUGUGAAAGCCCUGGGCUCAACCCAGGAAGUGCACUCGAAACUGGCGGGCUAGAGUAUCGGAGAGGUUGGUGGAAUUCUCGGUGUAGAGGUGAAAUUCGUAGAUAUCGAGAGGAACACCGGUGGCGAAGGCGGCCAACUGGACGAAUACUGACGCUGAGACACGAAAAGCGUGGGGAGCAAACAGG